rnacentral:rRNA from 1 species
UACGUAGGGUGCGAGCGUUUGUCCGGAAUUAUUGGGCGUAAAGAGCUCGUAGGCGGUGUGUCGCGUCGGUCGUGAAAACUUGGGGCUUAACCCUGAGCUUGCGGUCGAUACGGGCAUCACUGGAGUUCGGCAGGGGAGACUGGAAUUCCUGGUGUAGCGGUGAAAUGCGCAGAUAUCAGGAGGAAUACCGAUGGCGAAGGCAGGUCUCUGGGCCACUACUGACGCUGAGAAGCGAAAGCAUGGGGGAGCGAACAGG